UGUGAUCUGGGUUCUGAUAUUAUCUCUGCGCUCUGCAGUGUGCCAUGGGCACAUGAGGCAACUAAUAGCAAGUGAAGAAAAGGAAUUGUUGGCAGACAACUUGGCUAAAGCACCAGACUUCUUUGUCAUCCAGUCAGACACUAGGGGUGAAAAAAAAUCUGCCUGGUUAUCUUUGUCUGGUCUCUCUUGGCUGAAAAACAGGGUACUCUUCAGAGGAAUGUCAGAAGUCAUAACCAUGCCUGAUGACAACAGUUUCCUUUGGCCUGGUGUGGUAUUGUAAAUUGUCGCUUUUAGACCAACUUUUUAGUGAUAGACCCUCUCUAUGCUUUUUGUUGUAAGCUACUGCAGAUUCUUGCCACAGGUAUGAAGUAAAUUCUGUUAAUAGCCUUGAUUUUUCACCUGUGCCACCAUAUAUAUCUUUGCCAUGGCCUCAUGAUGGAUGGAAUAUACUUCCCUGCCCCUUGACUUGAUACUUGACCAUGUAACUUUUUUGGAACAAUGAAAGAUGAUGGAAAUGUCAGUAUACCUGUGCUCAGGUAUACUGUGCUAGGUCUUAAGAAGCCUCCAGUGUUUCCAGCUAUACAUCUGCAAUCACCAUGAGAAGGACCUGCUCAAGCAAACCACUAGUCACAGGAGGAGAAUGAGAGACACAUGGAGCAGAGCUGCCCUCAGAGUCCACCUAGAUUAGUUGUCAGCAGACCUCCAGUGGACUUGUAGAAACACAA
rnacentral:lncRNA from 1 species